rnacentral:rRNA from 1 species
CUGCUGCCUUCCGUAGGAGUUUGGGCCGUGUCUCAGUCCCAAUGUGGCCGUCCACCCUCUCAGGCCGGCUACUGAUCGUCGCCUUGGUGGGCCGUUACCCCGCCAACAAGCUAAUCAGACGCGGGUCCAUCUUACACCACCAGAGUUUUUCACACAAAUCCAUGCGGCUUCGUGCGCUUAUGCGGUAUUAGCACCUAUUUCUAAGUGUUAUCCCCCAGUGUAAGGCAGGUUACCCACGCGUUACUCACCCGUCCGCCACUAAG